rnacentral:rRNA from 1 species
AGCGUACACGGUGGAUGCCCUGGCAGUCAGAGGCGAUGAAGGACGUGCUAAUCUGCGAUAAGCGUCGGUAAGGUGAUAUGAACCGUUAUAACCGGCGAUUUCCGAAUGGGGAAACCCAGUGUGUUUCGACACACUAUCAUUAACUGAAUCCAUAGGUUAAUGAGGCGAACCGGGGGAACUGAAACAUCUAAGUACCCCGAGGAAAAGAAAUCAACCGAGAUUCCCCCAGUAGCGGCGAGCGAACGGGGAGCAGCCCAGAGCCUGAAUCAGUGUGUGUGUUAGUGGAAGCGUCUGGAAAGGCGCGCGAUACAGGGUGACAGCCCCGUACACAAAAAUGCACAUGCUGUGAGCUCGAUGAGUAGGGCGGGACACGUGGUAUCCUGUCUGAAUAUGGGGGGACCAUCCUCCAAGGCUAAAUACUCCUGACUGACCGAUAGUGAACCAGUACCGUGAGGGAAAGGCGAAAAGAACCCCGGCGAGGGGAGUGAAAAAGAACCUGAAACCGUGUACGUACAAGCAGUGGGAGCACGCUUAGGCGUGUGACUGCGUACCUUUUGUAUAAUGGGUCAGCGACUUAUAUUCUGUAGCAAGGUUAACCGAAUAGGGGAGCCGAAGGGAAACCGAGUCUUAACUGGGCGUUAAGUUGCAGGGUAUAGACCCGAAACCCGGUGAUCUAGCCAUGGGCAGGUUGAAGGUUGGGUAACACUAACUGGAGGACCGAACCGACUAAUGUUGAAAAAUUAGCGGAUGACUUGUGGCUGGGGGUGAAAGGCCAAUCAAACCGGGAGAUAGCUGGUUCUCCCCGAAAGCUAUUUAGGUAGCGCCUCGUGAAUUCAUCUCCGGGGGUAGAGCACUGUUUCGGCAAGGGGGUCAUCCCGACUUACCAACCCGAUGCAAACUGCGAAUACCGGAGAAUGUUAUCACGGGAGACACACGGCGGGUGCUAACGUCCGUCGUGAAGAGGGAAACAACCCAGACCGCCAGCUAAGGUCCCAAAGUCAUGGUUAAGUGGGAAACGAUGUGGGAAGGCCCAGACAGCCAGGAUGUUGGCUUAGAAGCAGCCAUCAUUUAAAGAAAGCGUAAUAGCUCACUGGUCGAGUCGGCCUGCGCGGAAGAUGUAACGGGGCUAAACCAUGCACCGAAGCUGCGGCAGCGACACUAUGUGUUGUUGGGUAGGGGAGCGUUCUGUAAGCCUGUGAAGGUGUACUGUGAGGUAUGCUGGAGGUAUCAGAAGUGCGAAUGCUGACAUAAGUAACGAUAAAGCGGGUGAAAAGCCCGCUCGCCGGAAGACCAAGGGUUCCUGUCCAACGUUAAUCGGGGCAGGGUGAGUCGACCCCUAAGGCGAGGCCGAAAGGCGUAGUCGAUGGGAAACAGGUUAAUAUUCCUGUACUUGGUGUUACUGCGAAGGGGGGACGGAGAAGGCUAUGUUGGCCGGGCGACGGUUGUCCCGGUUUAAGCGUGUAGGCUGGUUUUCCAGGCAAAUCCGGAAAAUCAAGGCUGAGGCGUGAUGACGAGGCACUACGGUGCUGAAGCAACAAAUGCCCUGCUUCCAGGAAAAGCCUCUAAGCAUCAGGUAACAUCAAAUCGUACCCCAAACCGACACAGGUGGUCAGGUAGAGAAUACCAAGGCGCUUGAGAGAACUCGGGUGAAGGAACUAGGCAAAAUGGUGCCGUAACUUCGGGAGAAGGCACGCUGAUAUGUAGGUGAAGUCCCUCGCGGAUGGAGCUGAAAUCAGUCGAAGAUACCAGCUGGCUGCAACUGUUUAUUAAAAACACAGCACUGUGCAAACACGAAAGUGGACGUAUACGGUGUGACGCCUGCCCGGUGCCGGAAGGUUAAUUGAUGGGGUUAGCCGCAAGGCGAAGCUCUUGAUCGAAGCCCCGGUAAACGGCGGCCGUAACUAUAACGGUCCUAAGGUAGCGAAAUUCCUUGUCGGGUAAGUUCCGACCUGCACGAAUGGCGUAAUGAUGGCCAGGCUGUCUCCACCCGAGACUCAGUGAAAUUGAACUCGCUGUGAAGAUGCAGUGUACCCGCGGCAAGACGGAAAGACCCCGUGAACCUUUACUAUAGCUUGACACUGAACAUUGAGCCUUGAUGUGUAGGAUAGGUGGGAGGCUUUGAAGUGUGGACGCCAGUCUGCAUGGAGCCGACCUUGAAAUACCACCCUUUAAUGUUUGAUGUUCUAACGUUGACCCGUAAUCCGGGUUGCGGACAGUGUCUGGUGGGUAGUUUGACUGGGGCGGUCUCCUCCUAAAGAGUAACGGAGGAGCACGAAGGUUGGCUAAUCCUGGUCGGACAUCAGGAGGUUAGUGCAAUGGCAUAAGCCAGCUUGACUGCGAGCGUGACGGCGCGAGCAGGUGCGAAAGCAGGUCAUAGUGAUCCGGUGGUUCUGAAUGGAAGGGCCAUCGCUCAACGGAUAAAAGGUACUCCGGGGAUAACAGGCUGAUACCGCCCAAGAGUUCAUAUCGACGGCGGUGUUUGGCACCUCGAUGUCGGCUCAUCACAUCCUGGGGCUGAAGUAGGUCCCAAGGGUAUGGCUGUUCGCCAUUUAAAGUGGUACGCGAGCUGGGUUUAGAACGUCGUGAGACAGUUCGGUCCCUAUCUGCCGUGGGCGCUGGAGAACUGAGGGGGGCUGCUCCUAGUACGAGAGGACCGGAGUGGACGCAUCACUGGUGUUCGGGUUGUCAUGCCAAUGGCACUGCCCGGUAGCUAAAUGCGGAAGAGAUAAGUGCUGAAAGCAUCUAAGCACGAAACUUGCCCCGAGAUGAGUUCU